UCAAAUCUCUCCUCUUUACAAAAAGAUUUCUUUGUUUGUGUUUUCUAACUUAGACAUGUUUUAAUGAUUAGAACCUUUAACCUUAUGCCAAUGAAUUUUCAAACUUUUUCUUAAUCAAACUUAACCAUAUUAACUUCAAUUUAAAAAAAAAAGAACUAAUAACCCACUCAAACCUUUGGCCUUCUGUGCCUUCUCUGUUAAACUUUUGUUAAAAGCAACCAACUUCUUUGGAAUUUUUACCACGAACUACGAGGUUUUGAUCCCUCAUUUUUAUGUUGGUACGUAGGCAUAAGACCGAAGGUCUUGUCAAACACAAAAAUAUAAUUAAUGAAUU
rnacentral:lncRNA from 1 species